AAUAUGCAAAUAAAAAACUGGAUCACUGUAGGGAUCUGAUAUAUCAAAGGCACUCCUCGAUCACUAAGCUUCGUUUGGAAUGGCUCAGUUAAGUCUGAAAACUCAUUCUACUAUAAUACGAGUUUAGUUUCAUCGAGACCUCAUUGGAUGAUUUGACGCCUUCAUUUGGGUUCGGGCUUCCUGUGGUACAAACCCAAUUCAGCUGAGGUGGGUAUUCCUCCAGGCGUUUUCAAGCAUCUCUGUGAAAGAACACAAUAUUUUUUUAAUAUGGCUACAACGUUGAUGCAGCAAGAUAUCAACGACAUUGACUAUGAACAACCUCUACGUUUGGAGUUUAAAAGAAUCGAUGGUCCUUGGUCGUGGUUAUUAUGUUUCUUGUUCUUCCUUUGUAACGUGUUGGCCUACGGUUUCAUUGCCACUUAUGGGAUUCUAUUCCCUAACAUUUUAAAAGACUUUAGCUCUGGGAGAGCUAUUACUGCCAUCCCAGGCUCCGUUGGUAUUGCCUCUGCCUCCUUAUAUGGCAUAGUGAUUGGCAAACUAUGCGAUCGUUACGGAUGUCGUAAAGCAAUGCUGAUUGGUGGAGUAUGCUGUGCUGUUGGACUAGUCGUGUC